AGACUGCUUCCAGACAGCCACAUCCGGAAAAUAGGGGUUUGAGUUUUUUGAAACCAGCGCCAAGGAUAACAUCAACGUGAAGCAAACCUUUGAGCGCCUCGUAGAUAUCAUCUGUGACAAAAUGUCAGAGAGCUUGGAGACUGACCCAGCCAUCACAGCCGCCAAGCAGAGCACGAGGCUCAAGGAAACCCCUCCUCCACCACAGCCCAACUGUGGCUGCUAAUGUCCCCCCGCACAGGAGCUCCAAGGGGCUCCAGAGCAGCCAAGAAACAGCAUUUAUAAAUGGUCUAUUAGCCUUC
rnacentral:lncRNA from 1 species